AAUCUGCAGAUGUCAACAUGAUUUAAAAAACAAAGAGUAACAUCUGGGACCAUGACAGCAGAAGGCCCAGGAAAAUGGCGUCACUUGCAUUCUACCCCAACUCACUUUAGCCAGGAACAGGACACCAGCUCAAAUGAAAUCGUCGAUCUGACCAAUGCCGAUCCUUGUGACUACCCUCAAGCAGAGCCUAGGCAAAUCUAUCAUGAAGAUGUUUCAGAGUCAGAUGAGGCAGAUACAAUUGAAUGGAAUCCAGAAGACGACCUCGGUGGAGCAGAUGUUGAUGACACAGUCAUAUUAACAUUGAAAUAUGUCAACAAUGAGGGUGCCACACAGAGUAUUGAGCUGCAUGAAGAACCUGUGCAGGAUUUACACCUCCCAUCAUCUUCAGCUGAUGGCCUGCCUUCACUACAUGUACCAUCAAUACUUGAAGCACAAGUGCAAACUGCAGUGCAACCCCAAGAUUUGCCAUCGAGUUCAACCAGACAACUUUUCGUGUCAGCCUCAGCUGCCAGUUCAGCAGAUCUAGAGGACAUACGACAUGCAUCAAUUCACAGGAUAAAGGUUGUUAAAGAUCUUUUGGCUGUAUUUAUGGACAGUAGCAUAGUUCAUUCAACUCUAAAGAUGGACUUUGUAAAUGAAAAAGCUAUUGAUGAUGCUGGAGUGUCAAGGGAGGUUUACACUGCAUUCUGGGAGCAAUUUCUUGAACAGUGUGAAGGUGAAACUGAGCGAGUACCAAGACUGAGGCCAGAUUUUGGUGAGGCUGAAUGGCAAGCAGUUGGACGGAUUUGGGUGAAGGGAUUACUAGAUCAUGGUGUCAUUCCAGUGAGGCUCUCAAAAGCUUUCAUUGUAGCUUGCAUUUAUGGGACCGACUCGAUUGAUGGAGACAUCCUUUUGACGUCAUUUCUCAACUUCCUCGCUCCUGUUGAAAGAUCGGUCGUGGAGAGGGCUCUCCAGGGCACAAUGGAAGAAGGUGAUGAAGAGGAUCUGCUUGACCUGUUUACAAGUAUGGGUUCCCAUUUCCUACCUACAAAGGAAAACAUGGAGACUGCCAUAGAAACAAUGGCUCAUAAAGCCAUUAUCCAAGAGCCAAAGUACAUCAUUGAUUGUUUCUCUACACCCAUGGCCCUUGUACAGCCAAAUCUGCCAGACAAAGAAAGGGUGUUGUCUCUGUACGAGACAAAGAAGGCCACUGGGAAAAGAGUGUGUCAGCUGUUGGAAACGACAAAGUUGGUGCUCUCUCAGAGAGAACAGACAACCUUUAACCAUCUCCAACGCUAUGUGAAAAAUGCUGAUCAAACUAAAGCUGAAAAGAUCCUGCGCUUCUGCACAGGCUCUUCUGUGAUAUGUGUUGAAAAAAUAUUGGUAACCUUCAAUGCUGAAAUUGGACUUAACAGAAGGCCUGUUGCUCAUACUUGUGGGGCUACCCUUGAAGUACCGUGUACUUACAGCUCUUACCCAGAAUUCCGCACUGAAUUUGACAACAUCUUGUCCAGCAGCUACUUUGAAAUGGACAUCCUUUGA
rnacentral:lncRNA from 15 species